GCAUCAGUUGCAUUUCAAACAUUGUGGUGGUCGGAUGUACUCGCUCCAACACAGUGACACUCCAUGUACAAGGUAGACUGAAUCUACUGCAAGGCAUCAUGGACCGGUUUCAUACAUAUGCAUCUCUGGUUGGCUGGCAUAAGCAUGAUCCUGUGAGCUAGUGUUACUCCUGGCAACUACUUUUGACUAGUUCUUCCUGUGAAACAGCUGUCUUUCAAAGAUGCCGAGGUCAUGCUGUGUGCCAGGAUGCAAGUCCAACUAUAAAUCUGCAGAUGCCUCUGCGUUCAGUUUCCCUAAAGAUGAACAGCGACGGCAGCAGUGGAUGAGGGCUAUCCACAGGAAAGACUUUACUCCAACAGAAAAUACAAUUGUUUGUUCCAAGCACUUCCAAAAACGUUUCAUCAUUACAGAAGACAGUAUGACACGCGCUGAUGGAACUGUAGUAACAGCAAAGAGAGGCAGGCCAUCUCUACAUAAAGAUGCU